rnacentral:rRNA from 1 species
GACGUAGGGCGCGAGCGUUGUCCGGAUUUAUUGGGCGUAAAGAGCUCGUAGGCGGCUCGUUGCGUCGGCUGUGAAAACCCGCAGCUCAACUGUGGGCUUGCAGCCGAUACGGGCGGGCUAGGAUUCGGUAGGGGAGACUGGAAUUCCUGGUGUAGCGGUGAAAUGCGCAGAUAUCAGGAGGAACACCAGUGGCGAAGGCGGUUGCCUGGAGCUUUGCUGACGCUGAUGCGCGAAAGCGUGGGGAGCGAUCCGG